GCGUCACGGAACGGCGGCGGCUGCGGCGCUGGCGGUGGCUGCGGCAGCGGCGGCAUUUUAGUCUGCGGCGGCAGCGGCUGCGGGGCUGCUGCUCCUCCCAGCAUCCCUGGCGCGGCCAUUUCAGCCCCAUCUUGGCCGAGUGGAGGGAGCUGCAGCCGCUGCUUCAGCAGUUUGAAUUUCUGUUUUGUUUUGUUUUGUUUUUUCCCUCCGGAGUCUCCGAGCCGGCCGCGCCGCGGAGAAGCGGAAGGCGCCGCCACCGGUUCCCCUCACGCCGCCGAGCACCUCCGCUCGCUUGCCGUUCCUUCAGCCGCCGCCGCCGCCCCUCACGCGCCUCAGAGCCGCGAGGAGGCCGGGCCCGCCGCCGCCGCGGGUGGCUCCCUGAGGGAGGCCAGACUGCCGGCCUUCCCCGCCCCCGAGCGGGCUUCCGCCGCCACCGCCGGCAUGGCCCCCGGACUGCGCUCGGGCUAGAGCCCGGGACGGAGGGCUGCCUCCCGCCGCGGACCUCCAGCCCCGUCCGUCAGGAAGCGCCGGUCCCGGCCUCGCCGCUCCGCCUUCUUCCUCCGCGUCGCCGCGCGGGAGCAGCCGCGGGACCCGGCCAGGAGAGCCCGAGCGGGGCAGAACCGCCCCUCACGCCGCCGCCGCCGCCUCCUGCGCCCUGCGCUCCACCCCCAGCCGGGCCUGCUGACCGCGCCGAGCGCCGGGCUGGACUGACCGCGGAGGCUGAGCUGUUGGAGCAGCCGGCCCGCCCCUGGACCACGCUCGGGCCGUCGCUGAGGAGUUGAAUUGAGGCACCCCUGCCGCGGGAGGUGAGGAGGGAGGAGGAGGAUGUCGCGCCGAGACGCCGGCGCCCAGAGCAGCCCGUGACUUGGCGGCGUGGGCCGUAGACCCAGGCGCGAACUCGGACUUUGUCUUUGGGGGCCCGUGCUCGGCCCUUCUCGGUUUCCGGUGGGGUCCCAGAGGAGCCUCUGCCCUCCAGCCUCUUCCACCAUGUCCAAGAUGCCGGCCAAGAAGAAGAGCUGCUUCCAGAUCACCAGUGUCACCACGGCUCAGGUGGCCACCAGCAUCACCGAGGACACCGAGAGCCUGGACGACCCGGACGAGUCGCGCACGGAGGACGUGUCCUCCGAGAUCUUCGACGUUUCCCGGGCCACGGAUUACGGCCCGGAGGAGGUGUGCGAGCGUAGCUCCUCGGAAGAGACGCUCAACAAUGUCGGGGAUGCGGAAACUCCCGGGACCGUGUCCCCGAACCUCAUCCUGGAUGGGCAGCUGGCAGCCGCUUCAGCUGCGCCCGCCAACGGAGGCGGCGGUGGCGUGUCGGCCCGGAGCGUGGCGGGGGCACUCGCCCAGACCCUGGCGGCGGCCGCCGCUUCGGUGUCCACUCCUGGGCCGAGUAGUGCAACUCCAUCUCAGCCCCCUGCCACUUGUAGUUCGCGUUUCCGCGUGAUCAAACUAGACCACGGGAGCGGGGAGCCGUACCGGCGCGGCCGAUGGACGUGUAUGGAAUACUACGAGCGGGAUUCGGAUAGCAGCGUCCUCACCAGGUCCGGGGAUUGCAUUAGACACAGCAAUACUUUGGAGCAGACUGCGGAGCGGGACAGCGGCCUGGGAGCCACCGGAGGGUCGGUGGUGGUGGUGGUGGCCUCCAUGCAGGGGGCGCACGGGCUGGACUCGGGAACUGACAGCUCCUUGACUGCUGUGUCACAGCUACCCCCGUCGGAGAAAAUGAGCCAGCCCACUCUCGCCCAGCCGCAGAGUUUCAGCGUCGGGCAGCCGCAGCCUCCACCGCCCGUAGGUGGGGCUGUGGCUCCAAGUUCGGCGUCGCUGCCGCCGUUCCCGGGAGCGGCGACCGGGCCGCAGCCAAUGACAGCAGCCGUUCAGCCAACCCAGCUCCAGGGAGCCGUGGCCGGAGGCGCCCUCCCCGGGCCUGUCGGUCAGGGGCUGCCGCCGCCGCCGAAUGUCAACCUGGCGCAGCCUGUGGCCCUGGCAGCUCAGCCCGGCCCGGCCGGCGGCUCCUCGUUGUCACAGCAGUUCGCCUAUCCCCAGCCUCAGAUACCACCCGGGCAUUUGUUGCCGAUGCAGCCAUCCGGCCAGAGUGAGUACCUGCCGCCGCACGUGGCCCUGCAGCCGCCAAGCCCUGCGCAGCCCUUGUCUACCAGCGCUAGCGCCACCUCUGCUUCCGCGGCCAGCUUUCCUCUGGGGUCUGGCCAGAGCGUCUCCUCCUUGGGUGCCCAGAUGAUGGGCGCCUCCGCCCAGCCCAGUGAAGCUGUGGCCCCGGGUCCGGUUCCUGUAGGCCAGGCCGCUCCUUGUCAGCCGGCCGGAGUGGCCCCAGCUGCUCUAGGAGGCGUGGUGCAGCCAGGCUCCGGGCUUACUGGGGUUGGGCAGCCCCAGCCCGUGCAGCCUCCGCAGCAGAUGGGUGGCAGUGGUCAGCUGCCAGCCGUGCCUGGUGGUCCUCACACCGUGGUGCCCGGAGUUCCAAACGUGCCUGCAGCGGUACCCGUUCCAAGCGUGCCUAGUGUGCCCACCACUUCUGUUACUAUGCCAAAUGUACCCGCGCCUCUGGGCCAGUCUCAGCAGCUGAGCAGCCAUACGCCAGUCAGCCGGAGCAGCAGCGUCAUCCAGCAAGUUGGUUCACCCUUAGCUCAAGGCACACACAGUGCACCAACAAGUCUACCACAGUCUGACCUAAGCCAGUUUCAGACUCAGACCCAGCCUUUAGUCGGGCAAGUUGACGAUACUAGAAGAAAAUCAGAACCCCUACCUCAAGCACCACUUUCUCUCAUUGCUGAAAGUAAGCCUGUUGUGAAGCCUCCAGUUGCAGAUGCCCUGACAAACCCUCUUCAGUUAACACCUAUGAACAGUCUGGCCACCUCUGUAUUCAGCAUAGCUAUUCCUGUUGAUGGUGAUGAAGACAGAAUUUUUUUUAGAAUUCAGCAUCGGAGGAGGAAUGUGACAUAAUAAUGAUCGAAAGCCGAAAGUUUAAAAGUUGUGAUGCCCUCACAUGGUUGGAGGGUUAUUCUAGCUUCUAAGGACUGAAUGUUGUCCACAAGAGUGUCUCAUCAGGUCAUAAAUUGUGCAUCUGGGGGCGGUGUUGUAGCCAUUGACAACAAAAUAGAACAAGCAAUGGAUCUGGUGAAAAGCCAUUUGAUGUAUGCAGUAAGAGAAGAAGUGGAAGUUCUAAAGGAGCAAAUAAAAGAAUUAGUGGAAAGAAACUCUUUACUUGAACGAGAAAAUGCACUGUUAAAAUCUCUUUCAAACAAUGAUCAGUUGUCCCAACUCCCAGCCCAACAGGCCAAUCCUGGUAGCACUUCUCAACAACAAGCAAUGAUAGCACAGCCUCCUCAGCCAACGCAACCUCCACAGCAGCCGAAUGUCUCCUCAGCAUAAAGCUUUCUUAAGCCUCGUUAAGGAAAAACUGAAAGCAAUCUUUCCUUGUGUGCCACUGGUGUUCUUUCCACUUUAUAGAAAGCAAGUAGCCAUGCUUCGGCUGUGUGCUUGGCCUUUUCAGUAUUAGACAAUCGUUCUACAGGAGCUUCCCUCUCAGAUGUCAUGCAGCACUGUGGCUGUCGGUCCACUUGUGUGUCAUCAGUACACGAGGAGAAUACUAGAUGGGGUUUAGUAAAGCAAGGAGAGUCUGCAUUCUACAUGUGCCCAUGAGUGGGAUCUUUAAAAGUUUUGGUGGCUCUCCCAUGUUUCUUACCACCCAUGGAUGUACCUUGAGCCUUCCUGUCACGUUAUAAAUAACAGUUCAUCUAAAGAGCCACUUUUCUUUCAAUAUCAAUAACAUUUGCCUACAUAAGUUUUCAUUUAUUUUGUGUUUUAUUUAUUACAGGGCUGCUAUUUUCAUAUUGUACAUGAACAAUGUCACAGAACUUUUUUAAUUUUCUUGAAUAAUUAUAAGUAUCAGUAAAGGAAUUGAACGACAGGAUUACAUUUAAAAAAUAAAAACGUUUAGGCAAUAAUUGAACAAAAGAAUCCUGGCAUAUUUCUAACACUAAUGGCAAUUUACCGUUGGUAUUUAUUUUCAAAAGAUCCAGCUUGAAUGUAAAUUUUGUAUAGUUGUAAGUAUGAAAAACACAGUGCACCUGUACAGGUAGUCACCAGUUAUUGUGAUAUAAUAAAUAAUUGGGCUAUUUUUCAUGAAGAAAACUUUGUUCAUUUGUUUCUACUUUCUAAUAGAAAUUGCCACGAUUCCUCUGCUUUUCAACAUUUCGUAUGAUUUUUUUUUUUUUUUUUGGGUGGGAAUAAAAAAAGCUGUGAAAUUGUUCAACCUACUUUGUAACCAAAGAAGCAAAGCUGUGUAAUGGAGUUUUGUUUUGUUUUAUAAUGCACAUUCUUUAUGUAUUUUUAUUUAGUGUUUUCUUGGUCACAAUUUUCUUUGCUGUCUAGCAUGAUCUGCAUGGCCUGUAAUCUUUGAACCACUUUCGUACCUCAUGUUUUUAUCCAGCACUCUUAUUGUACUGUGUACUAGUCUGUGAACAAUGUCAAAUAAAAAAGAACGAACAGGUCGUAUGGUGGAGCUGAGCUAGUGUACAAUGCACCAGUUGUACAGAAACAAAAAUGAAGUGAGCCAUCUUUUGUUCAUUUAAAAUGGUGUUUUGAAUUUCAUAUGCAGAAAACGUUUUGUUACAUUGCAGAUUUUAAUGUAUUUAAUAAAUGCAACAUGCAGAUUAAGUGCAGUGUAUACUGAGUAUUUAAAUUAAAAUGUACAUUUCAUAAAUACAGUUUCAAGAGAAAGCAUCAUUUUGUGUAUACUAACACAUUAAGUGUAUGUCAGAAAUUGAUGUAAAAUAUAUAUUUUAACACAUUUUCUGAAAUUAAACUACAGUUUUGUUCAAAUAUUUGGCUCUAUAUGUGUUCAGAAUUUGACUAGAUUUGUAUUUUCACAGUUCAAAAUAUUCCUUAAGUGAACACCCAUGAUGUUAAUUACAAUGAUAGUUCUUAAAUUUUCAAAGUAAAAUAAUUUAAAGAACACAAGAAUGGUGAGCAAUAUUUGUACUCAAUAUUCAUAUUAUGUUAACAAUAUAAAUAGGAAAUCCUCGUCUACCAAAACUUUUACUUGAAUUCAGAAAGGUGCCUGUAGAAAUUAACAUGUCCUGUAUGGGUAGCCCACUAGCUAAUUAAGUCUUAAUGAGAAACAGUAGUUAGCUUUCCAUGUUAGAAGAGGUUAAAUGUUCUUUAUCUAUUUGAAACGUUCUAGCUUCAAACAGAAGGCAUAAAAUUGAAACAUACAUGAGAUUACCAAAUAUUUUAUAUUCUAGUUGUGUUACAAGAAAUAAUGUUCAAUAAACAAAAUUUUCAUGUUAAUAGUAAUGUUAGAAAUACUUAAAAGAACUAGGUAAGUAUGUAGACUUGAAUAUGUAAUAACCCUAAGGAUUCAGAGUGAGAUUCUAGUAGAGCCACUAUGGGCAAGAUAGGAUGUGAAACUGCUGUUGGAAUAUAAACCUAAAGAUUUCCCUUCAUGCCCUUCAUUGCUAAUAAUGUGGUACUUCAUACAAAGAAUGUUAGAAAAGGGUUUCAGAAGGAGACAGUUAAAUGGCAGAUGGCUGCCCAAGAAUGCACAAGAUUUUGUUUGAUGCCUGGCACUUAAAGUGAUUUUUGUAAAAACAAGAAAUGAGUUUUUAUUUUAGGGAUAUAAAAACAAGCAAAAUAUAAUAGUAUCCACCAAGGAAAUCGUUAAUAUUCUAAGGUUAAAAAUGAUGACAGCAAUUGCUGCUACUCGUAUCUUUUUAAAAGGAGCAAAACUAGUAAAUGGUUAAUAAAAAAGAUUCCAAAAGAAUUGACUUCUGAUAAACUAAGAAAUGCAAACCACUUUAAUCAGUUACAUCUUUUAAAUAGUAGGAAUUAAUGUAGUAUGGUGGGUUUUUCUCCAGAAUGAAAAUUGGCAGUGUAAAGCUCUUAAUAGCUUUAAAUAUUAAGAAGCUCUUACAUAAGAAACAGUAUUAAAGAACAUGCAACCGUGUGCCUAUCCUAUAUAUUCCUUCCUUCCUAGGAUACAAAACUUUGAUUGCUUACCUUGUCCCUACCUAAAGUUGUGUAAUGAAGUUUCCAUCCAAAUCUGUUCCCCAUUUCCACGAGGCACACUGAACUCCAGAGUCAGGAACAGAGGUGAGCCAGGUAUUGGGCUUUUAUGUGGACAUAUUUGAACAAUUUCUUACAGAAAUUCCAAUAGGUUAAGGAUCUUCAUUUAGAUUAGUUUUUUGUUGGGGUUAAAGUCUUCAAAUACCUAGACUGUCAACUAGUUGAAAUUCCAAUUUGUGAGGUAAGUCUUAUGAGAAUGUCCUCUACCUUUAAUUUUCUGUCUCAACCUAUAGACCAGGUGCUAAUACAUAAGCUUUAUGUUGGUUUAAUUUUCCAAUACAGUACUGCAUAUACAGUUGAAAACUAACUUUGCCCAAAGGAAAUUAUUUUUAGGUAGUCCUAAUAUAAAUUUAAGAUCUAUCCAACAAAACAAAAAAAAGCAUAGGGAGUUGGAGAAUUAACAUUUCGCUAUUUUAACUGUUAGAUGAAGCUAUUAAGCCUUGAUGACAUGUCCUUUAUGAUGGAUGUGUUUCAUUUCUCUUCAGUGAUUCUGUUGAAAGGUGAAAGGCCAGUCCCCAGGAUUCACAAUUGAAUUGAGGCUACACAAACCAACCAAUGACAAGAAAUGCAGUAAAGGGUGUCUUUCUCAGGGGGUUCCUGAAAUGGUGACAUUUAAUUCUUGAAGGUCCUAAGAGGAAAGGUGUGUUCUAAACACAAAAGCCUACUCAAAGCUCUGAAAGCAUACACAGGCCUAAGAAGCACAGAAUUUUGUGGGAGGGAAGCUAGAAAUAACUGCUCCAUCAGUGUUUGUAGUUUGGCAUUAUUAACAAGAAUGAUUCAUUGGAUGAUAGUGGGAGAAUCUCAAUUCAGUUCUUUGGUAGAGUGGUGGGUAAAAACUGGAGACAGUUUAGAAAAAUGCAAAAGAGUGGUGAGACAGCAUUUCCAUGGGACAAAUUGAAGUUUAUUGAAUAUUCUACUUCCAGAAUCAGUACUUUGUUCUCCCCCCCCCACCUUUAGAAAAAAAAAGCACCUCAGCCAAUAUUUUUAAGUUUAGUCAGUCUCAUACCAGGAGCCAUGCAUCUCUAGAAAAUUAAAGUCUUUGUUUCCUGUCGAAGGAAUUGCAAGAAUCUGACCGAAGAGUGGGGCAAACAGGAAUUUGGUCACUCUAGGCCUCUAUCCUCAGCCCAGUGGUAAACAAUUGAAUCUUCCUCCAGGUGACUGGCCACCAUAAUUCCAAACCUUUCCAGCCUCUUGCUUCCUGAAGAGAUAGUAUGGAUUCUGACUCCAGUUUGCAAAUACACCUUAAGAGUAGGUUUUCCUUUAACUUUACCUUUCAUUUUCUAACAUAGGUCAGGCAGCUCUUCAAUACUCUGCUAAUACAGUAACACACCUCUCCUGCCCCCUGCUUCCAGACCCCUAAUAAUUUGUGUUUCAAUUUUCUAAUACUAAUAUCCUCUGAUGUUUGUACCAAUUGGCCCACCAUUUGAUCUUCCAGAGAACAUCCCUGUCUCCUAUUUCCAUAAUAGGUUACGAAUUUCUCUUUCUCUUUUCAUGCACGUUUUUCUUAUAUAUGUGAAGAGUUACUAUACAAGAGUUCCCUUAGUGGUCUAUAUUGGUCUGACAUGUUCAAAUGGAAGAAUUGCUAAGUGAGUACUAUAGAAUGCAAAUUUAAAAGUUCACAGACCUGCACUUUUUCUUUUCUCUCUUGUUUGAAUGGAAUUUAAAAAUGAACAGUCUUUGAGGGACUGGUGAUAGUAAUGGCAAGAUAAGCUCUUACUUUGUGAUGGCACAGUCUACUUGAAAACUAAACUUGUUCAACAUGAUUAGAUAGUGAGUUAGCUCUAAUGUUUCCUUUUCUUGCCAGGGAAACUGAAUAAUUAGGCAGUUUGGAGUGUUUCCUUACUGCCUUUCAGAGAUCCAGAGUCCGUAUGUUUACAGACUAGGACCUGCCCACAGAAGCCAUAAUGUUCCUCUGAAAGAAGGAAGGAAAGGAAAUUGCUAACUUUAGAAAAAAAUGGUUGGAGAUUAAGACAAGCUAAAUGACACACUUCAGCUUUCCCAUAUUAAAAGUUAAGGUUACUUGUAGCGCCAAUUGUUUGCAUGCUUUCAUUAUUUCCAUAAAAUAACCACAAAGUGCUCUUGCCCACUGCAAUUCAAAAUGUCUUCCAGAUGAUAGUUUCUGUCAUCUUGCAAUUAGUAUAUUGAUAGAUAAACCCAAAGAAGACUGCAGACAAGGAAACCUCUCCCACACUUGGCGUAUAUAAUAAAUACUAGGCCAGUGUCUAAUUCUAGCUCACUGAAAAAAUAUGUAAAUCCCUUAAUAAGGCAGUAGUCUUCACAGAUAAAUAUGUUGAUGUUUGGGGAAAUAUUUGGGCUUUAUUUGUAUUUUUAUUUCCUAGAAAUGUUGAAAAGCAGUUUGAUUCUAUCUUAACUUAGGUGCUUAACCCUAUACUGAAUGUUUGAGGAGCGAAAGCUGUUUAGGACAUGAUCUUUGCCCCCUCUCCAACCCCAGGAUCUCAGCAUCCAAUGUGAAAGUAGAAGGUGAAGUACCAUGUUGCUUAUCCACAAUAAGUACAGUUUAUAGACCUUGCUCGUUCGGUAGAGGAAGGUUCUCUAAGUAAUAAUUUGCUGUGUUAUGUGAAAUCCUUUGCCAUUGCCAGGAAAUAACUUAAAUCGUCAGAAAGCUUUUGCAUCAAAUAAUCCUUCUGGAAAGAGGAGACCAGACAAAAGACUUCACACCUGUACUGAGCCUGGGAGGUCACCCCCAAAAGAACUAAUCUCAGAGAGAAGUUUAUACAUUUUUAAUACUCUCAGUUUGCAGAUAAUUGAUCUAAUUUAACCUAAUUUGACUAGAAUUUCCAUGUCAUGAAUUAUAUUGUCUCGUCUCAUAAGCAACAUGCAUUUUGGCUGUCCUAAUCAGCUAUUUAAUGAAUGAAGUUAAUAACUCAGGUACCUGAUGCCAAAAAUGAAUCUCCAGUAGGACUGAGAACUCUGAGAUAAAUACAAGGCUGUAUGCUAGGUAAGUGGUAAGCCUUACCGUUCAGAUCAGUGGAGAAGGAAUGGAUGGCUAAGUCAACAGGCAAUAUUGAGACUGUGUACCCUUUGAAGAAAGUAAAGUUAGCUCUCACAAAAAUUAAAAUUUCCAGCUACACUAGAAGUGAGUCUUCUACUUUGUGAAAUUCAAAACAUUGAUAAUGCAUGAAAGUGCAUAGUUUUACAAAUAAAUUGUGAAGAGAUGCUCAGCCUCAGCAAAGCAAAGUGCACAUGAAACACGCUAUCUCAGAUCCAGUUGGUGAACAUUAGACACAAGGAUUAAGAGCUGACAAAUAUGAAAAAACAGAAAUCUGAUGUCGUAAAGUUUGCAUAGCCACUUCUAAACGCAGCUGGUUAAUGUCCAGUAAAAUUGAAAUUUUAGGUGCCCUGUGACCCAAUGGACCCACUUUUUAGUAUCUCCCUAAAGAAACACAUAUUCACAAGGCAGCUUCUAAUAUAAAAUUGGAAAAAUACAAAUCUAACAAGAUAAUGGAAUAUGCUAGAUGCUAUAAAAUGGUAGGUGUCAGUGAAAAAGAAUGAAGAAGGACUGUAUGCUGACAGUAGACCUCUAGGAUGCAAUGUUAAAUUUGUUAAAAGUUUGGGGGGAAAUACAUGUAAUACACAUGAUACAUGUUUAAAAAAACAUGCCAUACACAAUACUGUAUAGUGUACUUCUGCAAAUAACUAUGUGUGUACAAUAUAAAUAGAGAGUUUGGAAGGAUACUAACCCAGCUGUUUACAGUAGUCUGGCGGUGUGUGUUAGCUUAAAGUGUAAUAUUUGAUGUCUGUGAAUUUGCACUCAUGUACUGUUUCUGUAGUAACAUUAAUAAAUUAGAAAUAAAAUGAAA